AGCUUACCCAUGGAACCACCACCAUGCUGUGAAGAAGCCCAAGCCACAUGCUGAAGCCACAUGGGGAGGAGCUGGGACUCCACUAACUGCCAGCAUCCAGCUGCAAGAUAUCCUGCCCUUCAGAAAAAUCUCACAACCUUCACUGGAUGUCUUCAAUCCAUGACUGGAACAAGAACUUACUCUCUCGUUAGCCAGGGAAUGAAUGAAAGCCCCCAGAUCAGAGAGGGCUUCUGUCUCACACAACUCCUCAGAAAGUCAAGACGUAUGGACUCCCUGGGACCCCCCCCCCCAAAACAAAUAAGGCACUCAUCCCUCUGUUUCCCAAACAAAUGUUUGUAUUGUCCGUCACUAUGGGUGCCAUCUUGUUUUCCUCAUAAACUGGGUGCUUCCAGGACAAAAGUGAUGUGGGGAGAAAAAGACAUUUCCAAACAGCACCUGCAUCAUCCAAUCUAAAAAUAAACCAAGUAGAACUGGUUUUAGGAGUGAUGCCACUGCUAAAAAUAAUGCUUACAUGUAUAAUGACAUCAGCAGGUAACCAGCCUGGAACCUGCAGGGCCCCGGUGUCUACUGGCAUGGUGAGCUCCUGCCUGCUUUCCGAGGUGGAUCAAUUCAUCCUCACCCUCCUCCCACCUGGCCUUCAUUCCAGGAGCCCGGGGCUGGACCUACUGAAUUCAAGGGAAAGGGCUGGCUGAACAGAGGGAAGCUCUGGAUUUAGAGCUUUCAUUAAAAAGUAAUAUGGACUUUCUAUUUCAAGAACAGAAUGUCUAAUAGUGUUGCCAGGGAGAAGCUCUCCAGGACCUGCUUUAAUGGUAAAUACAAAUGGUUGUAAUUAGCAUAUUAAUAGCGGUUUGAUUUCUAACACUGUAUGAAAGCAUCUCUCCAGCCUCUUUAUAAUACUAUCUGCUUGGAGGUAAUUACAGAACAGAGACAGAGCACUGGAGUACAGAGGCUCCUCUCCCCAGAUUGGCUGCAGCGAAGUUUCCAGAUCAAGCACAUGGAGGCAUGGAGAGGGGCUGAUCCCACCUCUUGCAUCCAUUUUUGCCCUAAGCUUCUUUCCACGGUCUGACAACCUGAUUCCCAAGAAGUAAAAACAGAACAUUUCAGGCCCCAAAGAACCCAAAUCCCAGCAGAGAGGCCUUCACAUGAACAAGGACUGACCUAUGAACCAGUCCCAGAACGACUUUGGCCAUCUCACAAGAGCAUCACUGAUUUUUAAAGAACUCUCCAAACUUGAUAUUCCUGGCAACCAGCCAGCAUGCACUCCUGAGAGCCGAGAAGUGAAAAAGCAAACUCACACCCCCAGGGCCUAGAGGCAGGGGAUGAGGCAGGAGGUGUGAUGACCGUGGUUUCCAGGUCUCACACUUGCCCGUGAGCUGCACAGAACACCCCACACCCACUCUGGGGCUUGCGAGCACCAUGCUGGGCUCUAAAUCACAGCCCAGAAUUCAGUUCUGGGCUGCAGUGAAAAGCUGGCUCUGUGGCUCCUGCUCUAAUUGCACUGGAGGGUGGAAGGUUGGGGAGCUGGACUGGUUUAUACUCAAGAGUGGUUCUUGUCCUUUCAGAGGGGCUGAUGGGAUGGCAGGCAGGGGCCGCCUCAGGCAGCCUAAUUACUGCAACUCUACACUCCAAUUAAACACCAAAUAAAUGUGCUGAACAAUCCACAACAGACCAAGCUUGCUGGGGCCACUGCAGAAGCAAGUUCCCGUUCAGAGGAGGCUUUUUCUUCUCUACUCAACUGCUGUCCCCUCUAUCACCUCAAACCAAGAGCAGCUCACUCUACUGGAACCACCUUGAAGACAGGACUUUUGUCCUUCAUGCAUGUAUGCCUAGCACACAGCAGGCAGCCUCCCUCAUAACCAAAGCUGGCCAAUGAGAUGAAGACAAGCUGUUAGGUUCAGCUUCCAGAAAAGCUCUGCAAAGUCCUCUCAUUGUACAUCUAUCCUUUUCCUUCUUCCUUUUUUUUUUUUUUUUUCCUGCCGUGAACAAGAAUGUGAUGUGAUGGCUAGAGCUGCAUCAGCCAUUUUACACCAUGAGGUAUUUGGCAGACCAGAGAGAUAGAAGGAGCCUGGGUCCUUGGUGACAAAGAACAGCCAACCCACAGCCUACUUCAAGACUUCAUUAUGCUAGGAAAAAAUAUGGUGUUCAAACCAUCCAGCCAAUUACCAUGAGUAUUUAAUCCAUGGGAUCCCUUGCUAAAUCCUACCCCUCAGUUAAAGCUGUCCUCCUCCCACCCUAGGGAGGAAAUAAUUACUUCUUUAUUUGACCAACUGCAGUACCUUGUCACAUAAGAGUGGUUAAGAAUUUAUUAUCAGGAGUCAGCCCAGAGUGCAAAUCCAAGUUCUUCCAUUCACUAGCCAGCCACGUGACUUCAGGCAAAUCAUUUCACCUCGUUCAGACACUGUUUCAUCAGCUUAUCAGUUGAGAUGGUAACACUACCACAUUCCAGAGUUUUCUGAGGCUUGGAGGACAAUAGAAGCAAAGCCCCUGGCAUUCCAUCAGCACACGACAAACAUGACUUUAACUUUUCCAGUCAUCAGCCAUUGGUGAGCUACGAAUUUUGUCGCCAUAAUCUAUCACCUGCAAUUCUUCCUAUUCUUCUAGUAUUUACCUGAUAUUUUCUUUAACCUGGGUGUUAACUGACCCUUCCUCCCACCUGCUGGGAAGUUAUUGCUGUGGUUACUGUUUAUUUUUUUAUGAUAUACAUUUUAAAAAAUGCAUAACCAUAGUUCACUGGGCUACCUACAAUCAUCACACACGAAGAGGCAUCCCUGCCACCCUUCCUAAUGUCAUUCUGAUUACUGAGGCAUGAGAUGCACAGACAUCUUCUAUCCCUGUCAACCAGGCUCCUUGAAGACGGGGCCUGGACAGUACUUGUCUCCCAGCAUCUGUGACUUAGAGGAAGCCCACUGAGUAUCUGCCUCAUGACAGGAGAAAAUUCUCUUGCAACCAUAUCAGAGACCUGGACAGAGAGCACAGCCAAAUUCCAUUCCAGCAUAUUCUGAGGGGCAUCCAAAUUCUUCUGCUGUGCCGGGUGCAUGUUCCACAAAAAAAAUUACACGUAAGAAGUGGCUGUCAGCAAAGGAGUCUGCAAUUGCUUCCACAAACAUUUCCAUGAAUUUUCAAUGGCUCUUGCUGUAAUGGGAUUUGAUCCAUCUCGUGGCGCCCUGGAGAGACCCGUACUGGCCAGUGAAAUGUGGCAGGGACUACAGGGAAUAGGGAUCCUUCUCUGAACUAGACAAAAAAGACCUUCUGAAGGAGCUUUGUACCACCUCGACAGCUGAAUACAUUCUUGCAAAAUAUUUCCAUCAGGGAGCACGGUCCUUAUGCAGAGCAAGAGGUGGUGACAUUCUGGAAACACUGGAUACCAAAUAAAAUGUGAGCUGUGACAAGGAUGCAGCAGGACCCAGCUUCUGGGUUAGAGACAUUUUUUUAAUGAUGGAAAUGUUUUGAUGGAAAAUAGUGCACUUGGCCUGUUAAGAAGUAACCAAGCAAAAUGUUUUGGGGCAUAAGUAAAAUGUUUUAUUUGGCAAAUUCAUGCCAAUUCAGACUGGAAGGUAACUCACUUUUCCUACCACCUCAACCUUCUGUGGCCAAAUGGCAGACUGAAAAAAAUGAGACAGGUGUAGGCAGCAGGCUACAUGGGACCACAGGGCCAGAGACCUACAUGCAGAAGGUUCUGGAGCUAGAGGAUUCCCCACUUGGUGGUUAGUUCGUCCAGCAGGAACAAGCUGGGCCCUCUAGCCCCAUCUACCCUAUGUCCCCACCCCAUCUUGGAUGAGAUGCUGGGUGGUGGUCACAAUUACAUGUAAGCCCCGAGAGGUAGCAGUAAAUAGACACAUCCAGGCCUUGCCUGCAACUUCUGGAACCCCAAUCUGUAAAAUAAGAACGAAAAUACCACUUCCCACAGGACUGCUGGGGGAUGACGUUCGCUCAGCGUGAAGAAAGCUUUGCAAGCUGCACAGCACCCCACAGCCUCCACGGGGCUUGAGCAGGCACACACACUCAGAACAACAGCCAGUGGCAUGGGGCCUGAGUGAGUCCCACAGGCGGGUGGUGGUUUUGAGGAUCACAGGAAACCCUGGAACUCGGAAGCAUAGGAGCCAGUAGCUGAAUUGGUGUAGGAAGGGAGAGCUAGCUUUCACCAUAUUCAGACCUAACUGGAAAAAUAACCGUCUACUGUCCAAAGACCCUAGAAAGGCUGUCAGCAGGACAGCAGAGAGACAGACCCAUGCCCACAGCCAAUGAUCAUCUUGGGGGCGCUAGCGGCAGGGCCAUCCCUGAGCACAAUGGGGCACAGGAAGUGUCUGAGUUGCCAUGCAUGGAGACCCCAGGAGGUGUUACUUAUUUACACUAGGGCACAGGUGAGGAACUACUUUCUGAAAGUGAUAGAUUUGCCCAAGUCCAUUUGGCAAGUGGCAGAGCAAAGGAACCUAGUCUGGUUUAAAGACACUGCUUUCCUUUCAGAACCAUUGGAAAUAUGGUUUGACAUUGCAUCCCUUCAGCCCACCUCCCAAAGCCAUGCCCCUGCCUGUAGGUGCUGUCUUCCUUUUGUCUGCAGCUUUGUAACACUGAAGCCCAAAGAGGACCAGCCUCGGCCCACUGCUAACCCAGCCCGCCAGCUCCCUCUCUGUGUCCUUCCCACACCAGCUCUUCUCUGAACUCAGCAAAUGGACUGUUCAACCUCUCCGCCUAAAGCUCAUUCUCUCCAAUUCGCUCUUUUGAUGGUGCAGGCAGGAGGCAUUGGGGAGUGGAAGACGGUGGGGGAUUGCUCACCUCUCAUCUCUUGCCAACAUCUCAAAAACUCUGUCUCCUGCUGGUGGCCGGGACUUCAAGAGCAGCCCUCCUGUGGUGGCGAAGGGAGUGAGCAGAGCUGCCCUGUCAUCUGCUCCCCCUUCAUCCCGCCCCCCAACACACACACACUAUUUAUACCUCUCAAUCGAGCUAGCUCCUUUUUUGGACAAUGUCACCGUUUUGGCUCACUGUGGAUGCUCCGUCAUUGUGUCUCUUUACCAGGAAGGGAGAAGCACAGCAAAGCAACAAAAGUAGUUGGCCUGUCACCAGUGCUAUAACCGGUGACGUCUGAUUCCCCUCCAGGACACCUUCCGAUGGCCCAUCUAGCCACCAUCUGAUCUCAGACAGUUUCUCCAAAACGGGGGAGCUGCCCAGCUGUGCCCAGCUGGGCAACCUCAGGCCCCCUCUGGGCUGGUUGUUCCACAGCUAAUUUCAUAGAGGCACAUUCCAUCUUCCGGCCUGAGUAACUCCACCUUGCAGAGCCCUGGGGCAGGCCCUGGCCUAGUGCCGCCCAGCACAACGACAGCCUGUCACAAUACCUUCACAAUACCUUCGGCCCCUACAUUGCUCGAGGCCAGCAGGGAAGGUGCCAAUUUGCCCACUCUGCAGAGAGGAGGAACAGAACUCUAACACACCUGCUUCCCAGGUGGAGCAGGAAGCUUUUUCACCUUUUCACUGGUGAGGUACUGAUUUAUUUAUUGCUCGCUGACAUCCCAAAAGGAUCCACAGCAUUUCCCAAUAAAAGCACAUUUCAAUUGUUCCAUGAAAGACAAAGAACAGGAAAUAAGCAGUGAAGAGGGAGGAAAGAAUAAAAUGAGCUCCCUCCAGGACUUCUGACAAAGGAGAGCUAUGCUUUCAGCAUGAAACCCGGCUGCGGGCUUCCCAGCAGUUUGAACAAAGAGAGAUGCAGGUCAGUGUCUCCGGGUCAGAGUCCCAGACACCCUUGUUUCCCCUGACACCCGUUGAGGUGAGAGGGCUACAAGAUAGCCAGAUGAAGUAUCCUCCGGUGAUGGGCAGUCUCACACAUGCACACAUAAUAAGAGGGUGAGUCACCAAUGCCAGGCUGGGUCCUAUCAACAAGAGGGAAGCCCUGCAGACUUUUCCAGUAGGCUGAACAGCAACAGAUAGAGCACAGUGGAGGCUCCUCUCAGGGCCUUGCCCAGAGUGAGCUGAAGGGAUUCGUGGCUGGGACUGACCAUCACCUCCUACCCCACCAUUUCUGAGUUGUCUGAGGUCCCUCCUGCCUGAAGGUGGAGGAACGGCAGGACCUGGCAACUAGCACCCGCAGGAGAACCAAGAAACAAAGCUCUGAACUGAACAGGACUGUUGCCGACAGGGACGAUGGCGAAGAGCAGUGACAAAGCAGUGCCAUGUCUGAGUGCUCACAGUGUGCCAGGCUCUCGGCAGAGCCCCACUUGUUCAUCAUAUCCUUGCGACACUACUAUAGCAGCCAAGGAAAUUGAGGACUGAGAAGAUAAAUCACUUGUCCAAAGUCACAGUCAGUAAGGAAUAGUGCCUGGCUCUAACCCAGGUCCCUCUGACACCACAGCUCAGGUUCCUUACUCUUGACGGUGCUGGGUUAGCCCUUCAGUAGCUCUGCCCCUAAGGUAGAAGCACAGUGCCUAUAGCGGCCAAGCGCUCCCAGGCUGUUGACACCCAAGCCUUAUGAGGGAGUCUUUUGGCAAAGCCAUUCCCUGUGCCCUGCCCUGCCCCAGGCUGGGCUUGGCCAAAGUCCCAGAGCUGCAUCUCUUCCGUGUACAUCUCUGCCCGGCCAGUCAGGCUCUGACAGCCAGAGGAGCCAGCAUGACCACUAGAAGCAUGCACCCCUCUCAAUCCUCUCCUGCCUCCCCCUCAGGGAGAACAAAAAACAUCUGAGCAAGGAAAGAAAAUCAAUAUUCUAAAAGGGCCUGGUGUAGAGGUGACACUUAUGUUGGGGACUGGGGAGAGCGGCACCAGCAGAUCCAGGCUCUACCUCCAGAAGCUGCAGUCAAGUGGACGAUGGAGAUCAGUCAUCAGACAAGAGGACCAAACUCAGGCCCAGGGAGGUCAUGAGAGAGGGCUUCCUGGAGGAAGGGACCUGUAAGGUUUAGUGCAUUAUCAAGCAGAAUUAGGAAAGUGUGUCUGGUGAAGGCAUGGAGAAGGGAGGAAAUGUGAAGGAGUGGCUGAGUCAAGGGACAGGUAGGAGGGGGUAAGCCGGAGCAGCAAGCAAGGGCAGGUAAGGCAGGGCCCAGUCAGCUUGGAUAAGAGCUUUGGGUUCCAUCCUGAUCUUGAUGGAAAGCCAUUAGCAGGUGGUGGCUCGAUUAUAUGACAUUUUAGAAUGAGCUUCCUGGCCGCUGGAUGGAGCAUGGUCAGACAAGGGUAAGCCUGGAUGGAGCUGAGGACAGAGGUGACACAGGAGUCCAGGCAGGAGAGGUGGCCAGGGUGAGGGGAGACAGUAGGGGUGAGGAGAGAAGAGCCGACUCCAGAGAUAGUGGGGAUGCAGAGUUGCCCGGGACUGGAAAGGGACCCGCCAUGUGUCCUGGGAAGGAGAGGGGAGGCUCCCAGGUCUCUGGGCAGUAGGAGGGAAGGUGGUGACUUUCACCAAGAUCAGAUAUAGGGGCAGCUUUAGAAGAAAGGGUCACAGUUCAUCAGGGCGACAGGAAAGCUACUUUAGCCACUUGUCCUACUGUCGGGUCACCUGACCACACUGAGAAGAGCCAGCAACAGAUCGCUGAGAGCUUUACAAAGCGUUUCCUGCCAGGAACUCCUGUGGCCACCCGAUCAUCCCCGAAGGUAAGGAUUGCUGGGUCCCCAUUUCAGAGAUGACCAGAUUGAACUUAAGUGACUUUCUCAAGGCCACAGAAUCAAGGAGGAGGAACAAGAACCUCGGUCUUCUGCCUCUCAGUCCAGUGGGGAAUCGACAGCCGUAUAUUCCCAUUUAGAAUGCUAUCUGACUUCUAUGCAGGGAGACAAAUGACAGAGGAGACAAUUCUCUCUCUAUAAGCAGAACAGACUACGCCAGGGCCACAGACCAAAACGUUCAUAGUGGCUAUCGUACUGGCAAUUUUUAUUUUCCCCUUUCUAGAUUCUAUUUCGAAAAUUUCAUCAAUGGAUGUAUUUUCUUUUUGUGAGGAGAAAAAGAACAAACAGAUAAUUCCAAAAAUAAUCUUGAAAGAUGAUAUAAGGACAAGCACAACCAUGAAACAGAGAAAACAAACACCGGCGCUCUAAAGGUUUCUCGAUUUUCGCAUUUUCCUUUCUAACACUGGCUGGAAGGAGUCAACAGGAACCCGUGCCCACAGGAGCUCUUUAGGGGAUAAAUUGUUUGUUGUUGUUCUUUGGUUAUUUUAUUUUUUUUAAUUUAAACGUUUAUACUGGCCCCAAAUAGCCUUCCACCCACAUUUUCUCUUCUCACUCUCUCGGGUGCUAGCUCCGCGGUCCUCAGAACAAGGGGUGUUUAAUGCACUGAGACAGAUGCUGGGGGACAGGCUGCCAAGGUGUUGCUGAACAGACGGAGCCCGGGAAAUAAAUUCCGUAAAUAGAGUCUGGGCAGAGACCAUUAAAAGUGUUGUCCUAGUGUCUCUUUAUGGGGCAGAACGUUGUCAUGCUCAGACUGCUGCAGGUCAGCUGGCCUCUUGUGCUGCUUUGAGGUCCCUGUUGCUGCGUGAACUGGCUUGUUUUUCCCAUUUUCGGCGACCGGCCUCAAAACAGACAGAAAAGCCCUUCUCAUGCCUGUGACUGCCGUGACUUGGGGCUGGCAAGCAGGGGCCCAGGGUGCUCACUGAGCCUCGUUUGCUUUGUCCAUCAGAGGCACAUUUCAGGUUAAUGGCGUCUGCAGAUGCAAGCACAGGCUGCAAAUGGAACAUUCCAGAGGAAGCAAAGGAGGCGGAGAGGCCUCUAUGCUCCCUGCUUGGGUUUCUUUAAUGUGUCUGACCUUCAAAAAGACAGUGCAGGCUUUCUCACCUCGGAGCCAGAGAUCUAAAUGUCACAAUGAAGUACAAAGAUGUUAAUCUGAGCCUAACUGGAAUGGCAAAAACUAGAGGAAAAGAGAAACAAAGAGUUCUCACUCUCUCUCUGGAUAUAUAUGUACAUCCACAUAUAUAUCUGUAUAUAUAAAAUCAAUAUGAAGCCUUUAAAAAUCAGGU